ACUUAAAUGUGGAUGUGCUUGC
rnacentral:miRNA from 1 species